rnacentral:rRNA from 1 species
AUACGGAGGAUCCGAGCGUUAUCCGGAUUUAUUGGGUUUAAAGGGUGCGCAGGCGGGGGAUUAAGUCGGCGGUGAAAUUUUGCAGCUCAACUGUAAAAGUGCCUUCGAAAAUGGAUUCCUUGAGUGUAGAUGAAGUAGGCGGAAUUUGGGGUGUAGCGGUGAAAUGCAUAGAUAUCACGAGGAACUCCGAUUGCGCAGGCAGCUUACUAAACUACUACUGACGCUCAGGCACGAAGGCGUGGGGAUCAAACAGGAUUAUAUACCCUGGUAGUCCACGCAGUAAACGAUGAUUACUAGCUGUUUGCGAUACAAUGUAAGCGGCUGAGCGAAAGCGUUAAGUAAACCACCUGGGGAGUACGUUCGCAAGAAUGAAACUCAAAGGAAUUGACGGGG